CAUGCCCGUUGACUCAAGUCGAGGUAGUGCUGAAAAUCAAGUCCAUUUGCCUGUAACUGCCUUCGUGGCCAAACGGUUACCAUGCUGGACUGCCACGCAAAGAUCCCAGGGUCGAUUCCCGGGCCGGAAGAAAUAUUGGUCCCUUAUUUAGCUGUGGAAAAUAAAUGUAUGCGGUUUUGGAUUAUAUAUUUUUUUAUUUCCAAUUUGUAGAAAUCGCGAAAACUCCAGAUCUCGAAAUAAUGGAAUAGUUAUUUUCUAAAGAUUUUGUUUUUAAUAUCUGUAAGAUGGUUUAACUGUUAAUAGCCGGACAGAUCGACGGCAAACGUCUAAGGGGUCUCUGGUCAUAAGUCUCCGUGAUGCACGCCACUAUGCCAAAGACCGCCACAGAUGGUGCAAGGUUGUCACGCAGAAACUAUUUCUGCGAGUAAGUCACGAUGCUUCGUACGAUGCGACUAGGAUAUGGUUUACCAGAAGAAAAUUGGAAUUCUAAAGACAAUGUUGCGAUGCCUAGCAAAGAAAUAUCUAAAAUAUGUUGUCGGUCAUGGGUUAUAUAAGAUCUUAACUUUAUAUACCUGUGAUUGUGCUGACUCUCCGGGAUCCUUGAAUUCGAAAUACAGCAGUGUUGAUUUGUGGCUGAAAAAAAUUCACCUUUUGGACGUUUCGGACUUUAUAACUAGUAAAUUUACAGGAAUAUUAAAAGCAUAAACUGGUUCAAUUCUGAGUUCAAAAUAUUAUUCCGAAAAUAUGAGUAGAAUACUUAAAAAUUAACCGGUCCGAAUUUAUGAAAUUAAUUAAUGAAAUUAAGUAAUAAAAACUACUAUUCCAUAAGGUAUCCAAAAAACGUUGAAUAAUUUAUUUUUACACUUCUAACUUUCGGUUUCA